rnacentral:rRNA from 1 species
CCUACGGGUGGCAGCAGUAGGGAAUAUUGCUCAAUGGGGGAAACCCUGAAGCAGCAACGCCGCGUGGAGGAUGAAGGUUUUCGGAUUGUAAACCCCUGUCAUGUGGGAGCAAAUUAAAAAGAUAGUACCACAAGAGGAAGAGACGGCUAACUCUGUGCCAGCAGCCGCGGUAAUACAGAGGUCUCAAGCGUUGUUCGGAAUCACUGGGCGUAAAGCGUGCGUAGGCUGUUUCGUAAGUCGGGUGUGAAAGGCGCGGGCCCAACCCGCGGACGGCACAUGAUACUGCGAGACUAGAGUAAUGGAGGGGGAACCGGAAUUCUCGGUGUAGCAGUGAAAUGCGUAGAUAUCGAGAGGAACACUCGUGGCGAAGGCGGGUUCCUGGACAUUAACUGACGCUGAGGCACGAAGGCCAGGGGAGCGAAAGGGAUUAGAUACCCUAGUAGUC